ensembl:processed_transcript Gas5 growth arrest specific 5
GAGCUGUGCGGCAUUCUGAGCAGGAAUGGCAGUGUGGACCUCUGUGAUGGGACAUCUUGUGGGAUCUCACAGCCAGUUCUGUGGCAAAGGAGGAUGAAGGCUUACGAGGACUCGUCAGGAAGCUGGAUAACAGAGCGAGCGCAAUGUAAGCAAUUUUGUGUGUGCAUGUGGUCCCAUUACAAGGAAUACCCAAUGGCAAAUGAGCACUAAAGAUCCCUCAACCCACACAUUGAAUGUAUUGUUCCCUGAGAGCAAUUGUAGAUAGAGGAGUGGGUGGGAAGUCUGAAGUCAGGGCAUUGUUUCUGCGUAUCUGAGGAGGCUGGUUUUUGAUAUGUGGGAGCUAGUGGUCGUUAACGCAUUUACCCCCUAUUUGGUGGACUCUGGUUCCCCCAUCUUAAGUGCUGAGUCAGGGGCCUAACCGGGCAGCUUUAACUAUUUGUUUGUUGUAGGUGCUAGAAUAGAAGACCAGAAAAUGAAAUGGUAAGUCAAACUAAAGGAAUUGUAGAUGCUAAACAGGCUUGGCUUUGUUG